UACGUAGGGGGCUAGCGUUGUCCGGAAUCAUUGGGCGUAAAGCGCGUGUAGGCGGUCCGGUAAGUCCGCUGUGAAAGUCGAGGGCUCAACCCUCGAAUGCCGGUGGAUACUGUCGGGCUAGAGUGCGGAAGAGGCGAGUGGAAUUCCUGGUGUAGCGGUGAAAUGCGCAGAUAUCAGGAGGAACACCUAUUGCGAAGGCAGCGCGCUGGGACGGUACUGACGCUGAGACGCGAAAGCGUGGGGAGCAAACAGG
rnacentral:rRNA from 1 species